rnacentral:ncRNA from 1 species
ACUGUGGAGUGUAGAAGACCUGUGAGUAGAGAUAACCUUGGUUACUCAAAAACAUACACGUUGAAACAGUAA